UACAGAGGGGGCAAGCGUUGUUCGGAAUUACUGGGCGUAAAGGGCGCGUAGGCGGCCCGCUAAGUCGAACGUGAAAUCCCCGAGCUCAACUCGGGAACUGCGUCCGAUACUGGCGGGCUUGAAUCCGGGAGAGGGAUGCGGAAUUCCAGGUGUAGCGGUGAAAUGCGUAGAUAUCGGGAGGAACACCAGUGGCGAAGGCGACUACCUGGCCUGUUCUUGACGCUGAGGCGCGAAAGCUAGGGGAGCAAACGGG
rnacentral:rRNA from 1 species